AACGAACGCUGGCGGCAGGCUUAACACAUGCAAGUCGAGUGCCCCGCAAGGGAAGCGGCAGACGGGUGAGUAACGCGUGGGAAUCUACCCAUCUCUACGGAAUAACGCAUGGAAACGUGUGCUAAUACCGUAUACGUCCUUCGGGAGAAAGAUUUGUCGGAGAUGGAUGAGCCCGCGUUGGAUUAGCUAGUUGGUGGGGGAAAGGCCUACCAAGGCGACGAUUCAGAGCUGGUCUGAGAGGAUGAUCAGCCACACUGGGACUGAGACACGGCCCAGACUCCUACGGUCGACGGCAGUGGGGCAUAUUGGACAAUGGGCGCAAGCCUGAUACAGCCAUGCCGCGGGAGUGAUGAAGGCCCUAGGGUUGUAAAGCUCUUUCACCGGUGAAGAUAAUGACGGUAACCGGAGAAGAAGCCCCGGAUAACUUCGUGCCAGCCGCCGCAGUAACAC
rnacentral:rRNA from 1 species